rnacentral:rRNA from 1 species
AGAGUUUGAUCCUGGCUCAGAACGAACGCUGGCGGCGUGGAUUAGGCAUGCAAGUCGAACGCGAAACUUUAGAUUGAAGCUUCGGCUGAUUUCUAAAGUGGAAAGUGGCGAAAGGGUGAGUAAUGCAUGAAUAACCUACCUUUAAGUGGGGGAUAACUCCGCGAAAGCGGGGCUAAUACCGCAUGAGACCACGGUGAUACUUUCACUGGGGUUAAAGGAGGCCUCUACUUGUAAGCUUCUGUUUAAAGAUGGGUUCAUGUCCUAUUAGCUUGUUGGUGAGGUAACGGCUCACCAAGGCAACGAUGGGUAGCCGACCUGAGAGGGUGAUCGGCCACACUGGGACUGAGACACUGCCCAGACUCCUACGGGAGGCUGCAGUCGAGAAUCUUUCGCAAUGGACGAAAGUCUGACGAAGCGACGCCGCGUGAGCGAUGAAGGCUUUCGGGUCGUAAAGCUCUGUCACAAGGGAAGAAAUGCAUAGUAGUUAAUACCUAUUAUGUUUGACGGUACCUUGAGAGGAAGCCCCGGCUAACUCCGUGCCAGCAGCCGCGGUAAUACGGAGGGGGCAAGCGUUGUUCGGAUUUACUGGGUGUAAAGGGCGUGUAGGUGGCUUUUUAAGUUGGAUGUGAAAUCCCUCAGCUCAACUGAGGAACUGCGUUCAAAACUGAAUCGCUAGAGUGUAGAAGGGGAAAGCGGAAUUCCUGGUGUAGCAGUGAAAUGCGUAGAUAUCAGGAGGAACGCCGGUGGCGAAAGCGGCUUUCUGGUUUAACACUGACACUAAGGCGCGAAAGCUAGGGGAGCGAACGGGAUUAGAUACCCCGGUAGUCCUAGCCGUAAACGAUGAAUACUAGGUGUAGGGAGUUUUAUGCUCUUUGUGCCGACGCUAACGCAUUAAGUAUUCCACCUGGGGAGUACGAUCGCAAGGUUGAAACUCAAAGGAAUUGACGGGGACCCGCACAAGCGGUGGAGCAUGUGGUUUAAUUCGGAGCAACGCGAAGAACCUUACCAGGGCUUGACAUGUAUUGGACCGUCCAUGAAAGUGGAUUUUCCUUCGGGACUGAUACACAGGUGUUGCAUGGCUGUCGUCAGCUCGUGUCGUGAGAUGUUGGGUUAAGUCCCGCAACGAGCGCAACCCUUGUCCUUAGUUGCCAGCAAGUUAAGUUGGGGACUCUAAGGAGACUGCCAGUGAUAAACUGGAGGAAGGUGGGGAUGACGUCAAGUCGUCAUGGCCCUUACGCCCUGGGCUACACACGUGCUACAAUGGCUGGUACAAAGGGAUGCUAGGCCGCGAGGUGGAGCAAAUCCCAAAAAGCCAGUCUCAGUUCGGAUUGGAGUCUGCAACUCGACUCCAUGAAGUUGGAAUCGCUAGUAAUUGCAGAUCAGCUACGCUGUAGUGAAUACGUUCCCGGGUCUUGUACACACCGCCCGUCAAGCCACCCGAGUUGGGUGCACCCA